rnacentral:rRNA from 1 species
GGCUACUGCUAUUGGGAUUCGACUAAGCCAUGCGAGUCAAGGUGUCUUCGGACGCCGGCGUACGGCUCAGUAACACGUAGGUAACCUACCCUCAGGACUGAGAUAACCCCGGGAAACUGGGGCUAAUAUUAGAUAGAUAAAAGGUACUGGAAUGUUCUUUUAUCCAAAGCUUUUGCGCCUGAGGAUGGGCCUGCGUCCGAUUAGGUUGUUGGUGGGGUAAUGGCCCACCAAGCCUGCGAUCGGUACGGGCAGUGAGAGCUGAAGCCCGGAGUUGGGGACUGAGACAAGGCCCCAGGCCCUACGGGGCGCAGCAGGCGCGAAACCUCUGCAAUGCGGGAAACCGUGACAGGGGGAUCCCAAGUGCUCAUGCAUUGCAUGGGCUGUUCUUUGGUCUAAGUAACCAGAGGAGUAAGGGCUGGGCAAGACCGGUGCCCA